rnacentral:rRNA from 1 species
AUGGCCUUGGUGCAAAAGUAUGGGAAGCCAGAUAUUUUUUUAACCAUGACUUGCAACCCUAAUUGGGAUGAAAUAAUUAGUGAGCUAGAGCCUGGACAAACCCCACGGGAUCGUCCUGAUCUUAUUGUACGAGGUAGCUGCAAGAACUAUUAUCCACGACCAUUUAAUGUGUCAACCCUUCAGGGAAAGGACUCAUAUCCCAUAUAUAGGAGGAGAGAUGAUGGACGCCGUGCAAAGGUACGUGGCCAAGAGUUAGACAAUAGGUGGGUUGUUCCAUAUAAUCCUUACCUACUAAGAAGGUAUAAUUGCCACAUCAAUGUCGAGGUUUGCUCAAGCAUA